CACACAUAUUCAAAUAUACACAUAUAUAUACAUGUAUACAAACAUGUUUGUAUGCAUAUAUAUGAAAUAUAUAUAUUUUUAGUUCUAAUAACAUUUUCAUGAGAUAUUAUUAUCAACAAAGAAAAUUAGUCUUAAUGAAGUUAGAUAAUGUGCCCAAAAUAAUAUAUUUUGAAAGUAGAACUGGAAUACAAACCCAGGUCUGUAAAACACCAAAAUAUUUUACUUAAUCAUCAUAUUCUCCUUUAUACCCUACCCUCCCUGCCAUCAUCCCACCAUCCAUCACCCAGUAACAGUGGUGGAAGGCUUUCAUCAUUUGAUGCACAUUAUUUCUAGGCUAUAUGUUAGCUAAAAUAUAACUUCAUAAGUGCAAAUUUUACCCACACACCUGCAGCAGAACCUGGCCAGAUAGCAGGUUGUCAGUAAAUGUGUUUUUAAUAAGUGUUUUGUUUUAGAAAAAUUUUACAUUUGUAGAACAUUUACAAACACAGUACAAAGAGUUCCUAUCCACCCCUCACCUAGUUUGCCCUUUUGUGAUUUCAAACAGAUGGUAAAGUAAACUCAGAAUGAAAGAGCCCUCAUUGUAAUCAUUUUCUGAACAAAGACACCGCAUAUGAGCCUGUAACUGCAACCAUCUCCCUGUAGGUCAGCCGGCAACAUGCUGUCAGAUCAGCCCAGCUGGAAUGAACCCUGGGUGUCAAAGAAUGUUCUGGGAAUUUCCCGGAGCUUUGUGGAUUUCAGACCUGACACUUCACUGGCUCUUACAACAGAGGGCUCCUUCUUCCCUUUUUUUUUAAAUUUCACACGACAAUUUUGGAUGCCGUCAUGCUGAGUCUCAUCACCCAUCAGAACAUUUAAAUUAAAGACAUCUGACAGACGGAUUUGGCUUAUGAAUUCAUUUUCAUAAUGUUCAAAUAUCCACAUCAAGGCUCUGUGUCUGACAAGUGGGCUUCUUGGUAAUAAGCAUAUUAUAAGCCAGCAGGAGUCAUCUUGCUAGUUACAUUUUCAUGCAAGAAUUAGAUAUUAGGAGAUUCCUAGGUCAGUGCAAUCAACUGCAAUUUAAACAUUUUUAAAGGAUUUAUCAGCUUUUAGAAAUGGACUAUCAUGACUUCCAAAUGGGACCAGAAAUGGCAGAAAAGAAAAGCAUUGUAUCAUGAUACUUUUCCUAUAACCUUAAGCCCUUCAUCUUAAAACCUAUAACUGAAAUAUAAAAGGUGAUUAAAAUAACAAGUUUAUAAAAUAUCUAUUCUACAGGGAUUUUUUUUUCUCUUCCCUUCAACAAGACCUACAACUGAAAAUCAGCAAAGCUUAUCUUGCUCGCUUCGUUCCCAACCUCAGGCAGACUCUCAUUCCCAAGCUCCUCUAUUGUCUCCGAUACUUCACAGCUUACCCCAGGUGGAUUCUCCAGGUCUCUGUGCUUCUUCUCCAGUCCUCUAUCCCAGACUUCCAGGGUGUAGUCACACCCCAUGAUUAAUAAUUCCAUGGUAUGUGGUAAACAUCAACCAUUUUGCCCAUUAUUCUUCUGAGUCCAAAAAAAUAUACCUCAUCACGAGCUUCCUAAGAAGCAUUUCGUUAAUACCAGAAGGUUUUUCUAAUUGUCACCUUAGUCCCUGGCACAUAACAUGUGCUCAAUCAAUGGCUUUUUAACUGAACUAAUUAAGACAACUUUCAGCAGAUCAAGAGUGAAGAUAUUGUGGUUCACAAACAUUUUACAACACAGGCACAGGGCCUGAUAGACACUGACUGAUCAAUUCUGCAGGGAGAGAGAGAGAAAGAGACCACACAUAACAUUUUACUCAAUAAUUAGUUGUACAAGCAAAUUUGAGUCAUUUUAUCUUCAUGAGAAAUUCUUCAGAUCAAAUAACAGAAUCAUGAUAAUAACCAUAAAGUAAUACAAUUUUAGGCUCUUCCAAUGCACCAUAUAUUAUCAUCAUCAUGUUAUAUACAUUGCUUCUGUGCUGGGCUAUACCACAUGUAUUAGUCAGGAUAUGUGAGUUAAUGCUACCAAUACAGCUCUGAAAUCUCAGACACUUCAAUCAAACAGCAAAGACUUAUUUCUGGCUCUCGUUAUAUGGCCAGUGGAAGCCAGCAGGGGCUGACAGAGCACCAUGUCAAAACUUGAUUCCACAAAUCCUAAGUCAGGAGAAAGGAUGUGACAAUGACAACUAGUACACUGGUUUGUAAAGGCUUCUGCCUAAAAACCACACACAGCACUUCAAAAAUCCCUUCAAACCUCAAAAAUCACUCAAAAAAUUGAGCAUAUGAUGGAACCUAGAAAGUUCUUUAAAUAAAGUUCUUGAAACGACAACAAAGAAUUAAUUUAAAGUAACUGGACUGUCCAAUAGCAAAUACAAUAUAUUUUAUUUGCAAUGGUAGCAAAAGGUAUCACACGUUUUCUGUGUACCAGGUAUCAUUCUGACAUUUAACAGGUACUAGCUCAUUUAAUCCUCAGGAUAGCCUUCUAAGGUAAGUACGAAUACUAUCUCCAUUUGACUGACAAGGUAACUGAGGAACCAAGGAGUUGAAUAAAUUGCCCAAGGGCACACAGCGGCUAAGUAGUAAACAAGAGAUUGGAACUAGACAUUCUGGCUACAACAUCUGUACACUUAACCUCUGUCAAUCUAACCCAUUGCAAUACAUGUGAAGACUUUGUUGGUUAAAUUUCAGUAUGAAGAAAUAUACACAACAAUCUACAAUUAUACAAUUCCUGUCUAGUUUUAAUUUCCAGUUCUUUCAGUAAUGUGUGCCUUGAAGAACAUGUUCCUGGCCUGUCUGGUCUUUUCUAUUUUGUCUGUUAUUCUUGGUAAGUUCCUGUGGGGCAGAGAUCACACUAACAUCCAGCAUCAGGACAGCAACGUAAUUAAAGCUUAAUAAAUAUUUGUGGAGCAAAUUAAUAAAAUUCAAGUUGUCCAUUUCUUCUGAUUUAUCAAUCUGACUCAUAACAUCUAAACUAGAAAGUGCUUUUCUUAAUUUUUUAAUGUUAAUACAUAUUUUAAAAACCUUUGAGUACUUGGUCUGCAAAGUUCAAACAUAGUCAUUAUCAAUUGUUAAUUUCUGUCAAUGUACUCUCAAAAUUCUGGCCAUGUAUUUUGCCCAAGAAAUAGUUUGUUGGUAUCAAAUUGCACAAAUAUUCUUCUGAUCUCCCCCAUGCUGUUUAACCAUUUGGUACCAUGUCCCGUAGCCUGCAUGAGCACCC
rnacentral:lncRNA from 10 species